rnacentral:rRNA from 1 species
UACUUCUUCGGACAAUAUCAAGGUGCUGCAUGGUUGUCGUCAGCUCGUGCCGUGAGGUGUCGGGUAAGUCCCAUAACGAGCGCAACCCUAUCAUUAGUUGCCAUCAAGUCAAGCUGGGGACUCUAAUGAAACUGCCUACGCAAGUAGUGAGGAAGGUGGGGAUGACGUCAAAUCAGCACGGCCCUUACGUCCAGGGCUACACACGUGCUACAAUGGCCGGUACAAAGGGCAGCUACCUGGUGACAGGAUGCUAAUCUCAAAAGCCGGUCUCAGUUCGGAUCGGAGUCUGCAACCCGACUCCGUGAAGCUGGAAUCACUAGUAAUCGCGCAUCAGCCAUGGCGCGGUGAAUACGUUCCCGGGCCUU